GAGGGUAUAACUCAGUGGCAGAGUGCAUGCCUAGCACGCAUAAGGUCCUGGGUUCAAUCCCCAGUACCCCCA
rfam:Camelus ferus unplaced genomic scaffold scaffold2048, whole genome shotgun sequence.